UACGGAGGGGGCUAGCGUUGUUCGGAAUUACUGGGCGUAAAGGGAGCGUAGGCGGAUAGUUUAGUCAGAGGUGAAAGCCCAGGGCUCAACCCUGGAAUUGCCUUUGAUACUGGCUAUCUUGAGUGUGGGAGAGGUUAGCGGAACUCCGAGUGUAGAGGUGAAAUUCGUAGAUAUUCGGAAGAACACCAGUGGCGAAGGCGGCUAACUGGCCCAUUACUGACGCUGAGGCUCGAAAGCGUGGGGAGCAAACAGG
rnacentral:rRNA from 1 species